rnacentral:rRNA from 1 species
CAGCACCUCAAGUGGUCAGGAUGAUUAUUGGGCCUAAAGCAUCCGUAGCCGGCGCUGUAAGUUUUCGGUUAAAUCUGUACGCUCAACGUACAGGCUGCCGGGAAUACUGCAGCGCUAGGGAGUGGGAGAGGUAGACGGUACUCGGUAGGAAGGGGUAAAAUCCUUUGAUCUAUUGAUGACCACCUGUGGCGAAGGCGGUCUACCAGAACACGUCCGACGGUGAGGGAUGAAAGCUAGGGGAGCAAAACGGAUUAGAUACCCGAGUAGUCC